GUGAAUCAUCAAAUUUUUGAACGCAAAUUGCACUCCCUGGUAUUCCGGGGAGUAUGCCUGUUUGAGGGUCGUUAAAAUAGAAAAACGCUGCGUCGCUCUGUUUUUUACGGGUGAUCGCGGCUGAAUUUAGCCGUCUGUCAAUUGUUAAUUCAUGUCAAUGUUGCUUGCAAUUCAUCCAUCGUGUACGAUUUAAUCGUAUUUAAGAUCAAUUUUGGUUGAGAACUCGCUUUGACGUACCAUCUCAUGUAGUACGUUUCAC
rnacentral:misc_RNA from 1 species